CCAAGUCUCGAUGUCGCUAAGUGAAUUUACCAUCCGCCUCAUUUUUAGUUCAACUGCUACUCGUCGUGUUAAUUCAGGAUUUUUUAGAGCUGGGAGUUAGGAAACAUCAGCAAUGUCCUCACCGGAAAUCCAAUUACUCCACGAAGGCACGUGCCUUCACCAAAAUGCAGAUUAGUUUAACAGCAAGCAAAAGUGAAAUUUAGAGAAAGUAAUGUGGCAACUACCUGGUAUACUUUGCGAGACUAAGAAGGAAAGCUGUCUGCUUCGCUAACUUGUAGAAUGAUGGGUGAACAUUGUACCUAUUAGCAUGUAAACUAUUACUGGAAGAACUUAAAACUUUAUUACUGGAAGAA